rnacentral:sRNA from 1 species
GAUUAUUGUAGUCCCAUGGGAUAUUUGUUGUCCCAUGGGACUAUAAUUAUCCCAUGGGAUUUUUAAUAUCCCAUGGGACAAAAUAAAAU